GUCCGCAAGCUUAGCCCGGGAGAGCGCGGGACUGAAGACGAUGACAAGAAGACCUCUGUUAUCGACAUAGAUCCCGUUGUCCGGAGAGUCUUGAUCAAAAUAGAUUAAGGCCCGGUAUUCAAAUCUCCGCCGCGACACCA
rnacentral:tRNA from 1 species